GAGAGUGCUCUUUGAGGACGUGGGCAAGGAGCUGAGGGUGGAAUUUCCUUCUCUGAAGCACUUGACAGCAGCCCAAAGGUGACCCGUUGGAGAGUCAGACAGGUGUUACGGGAGAGGCGCAGGCGGCUGGACUCGGGGCGAGGCUGGGCAAACUUCUGUGGGAGUUGCUGAUGCUGGAGCUGUGAGCUGUUUAUGGAGAAAUGUCUAAAGGUAACAGAAGGAAGGUUGCAGUAUUUACAUUGCUGAUGACACUGGGCUUUUCUGGCAUGGUGUGGCCUUCCCAGAAAUACCCAGGCCUCCAAGGACAUCAACAGCACAACAGGGCACAAGUCAGUGAAGGAGUGCCUUGAUGCUGGCUUGUGCUGACACUGACGGCUCCCACGGACUCAAGCUGGUAAUCCCUUCGAUAAGGGAGGACAAGGAGCCAAGCUGGAAGGAAGACUGCACAGGAUGGAAAUUUGAUCUUCAGCUGGAUGGCGAGCAGAUUGAAGACGUGCAGCUGUCCUGCCUGGCGGAGCGCACCAUGACCUUCCGACCCUCCAACAAGCUGUGGUCUACUGGCGGCAUGGCAGCACUCCAUCACUCUUCUUGCCACAGGUGGUCUACUGGCAGCAUGGCAGCACUCCAUCACUCUUGCCACAGGGUCCAGGGACAACUCGGCAGGUGGGCAACCUUCAGGAGCAGUCUGUCUGUUGGGAAGAAUGGAGGAGCAUGUUAACUCUACAAUGUACAUAUGAACAACCAAAAAUAAACCACGUACAUUCAAA